CCGUCCCAGAAAAGUUGCCAUUUCACCGCCCCCAAAUUGUCCCAGAAAACAUGUCGUUGUACUGCUGUAGAGAGAAGUGGUGGGCCCCUCCGUAUACGUGGAAGUGGAACAGGAAAAAAGGAGUUUUUUUAUUUUUUGCGCUAAUACAGUAAUCGAUCUUAUCCUCUCGCUCUUGCCCCCAUCCGCCCCCAAUCUCGACUCGUUCGCCGCUCACCCCCCUCCCACCGCGCUUCGCGCCGAUCCCCAAUCUCCAUCGCUCUCCAUCGCCGCCCACACGAUCCCCAAUCUUCCCCAUCCUGAUUCGGUUCCUCCAUCAUCCCCAACCCUAAUCCCCACUCUUUCCCACCUCGAUUCUGUUCCUAUGUUGCACUGAACUUCAAUCCCCAAUCCCUAGCCUCCUCACCUCGCCUCUCCCCUCCACAGUCGGCGUGGGCGCAUGACAAUGGUGCGGCCGGCGCACGACGAUUCACUGCCCCUUUCAGCUUUGGUGGUCACAGCUCGCCUGGUCAGAAGGGCCGCACCCAAGCGGAGGGUGGCAGAACUGGACAUCCAAGCACAACAGGCAAGUGGAGGAAGGCGAGGUGGAUGUAGGCGAGCUAUUUAUGCAAGUGGAGGAAGUUGGGUAACUCCUCUACAUCAAAGACAACAUUUACAGCAUCAGCGUACACUCCAUAGUCUUGAAGGUAGUUCUCCAAGGCUUCCAGCUCAAGUUGCAAAGCAUCAUCACCAUCUACAAAUUAUUUCAAAUGGUCGUGCUCCAUGUGUUUGUGAUCAUAAGCUGUCAAAAUCACAUGCUGGAAAUUUAUUUGCAAGACUUCUCCACAAUUGCUUCCCAAGGAUGUAGGUUGAGAUCAAAAACAUGUAGAGCAUGUACAUGUGCCUGCCACUCAACUUGAUCAAGGUUAUCUCCUUGGCCAGCAGCAAGUCUUCCAUCUUCUUCCAUAUCAGCUUCUCCUCCAUUGAGGUUAGGGAGAUGAGUGAAUUGAGAUGAAGUAAAAGAUGGUCUUCAGGACUGUGGGUUGGAGUGUAGGGAGAUGGAAUGGAUUGAGAUGAAGAAUGGAUGGUCUCUUCAGGGCUUAUGGAAUAUGGAAGGACAGAACUAGGCGCGAAAGCAUCCUUAAUUGGUUGAUUCAAAUGUUUGAAUUAGGCUAAUGAUUGCUUUCUCCUGUAUUGUCAUUGUGGCCUUGGCGCCAUUUUACCUCUGUAAAUCCCACGUGGCAUUCAGUAUGUGGUUGAUUCAUUUUUUUACUGCAAUAGUUGUAAUUAUGUGAAACAUUCUGGGCUGUAUUCAAAUGGGAGCUGAAUCUAAUAAUUGAGGGUAAUUUAGUCA